rnacentral:rRNA from 1 species
AGUGGGGAAUCUUGGACAAUGGGCGAAAGCCUGAUCCAGCGACGCCGCGUGGGUGAUGAAGGCCUUCGGGUUGUAAAGCCCUUUCGACGGGGACGAUGAUGACGGUACCCGGCGAAGAAGCACCGGCUAACUCCGUGCCAGCAGCCGCGGUAAGACGGAGGGUGCUAGCGUUGUUCGGAAUCACUGGGCGUAAAGGGCGCGUAGGCGGCGCCGCGGGUCGGCUUGUGAAAGCCCGGGGCUCAACCCCGGAGGUGCGGCCGAAACUGCUGUGCUGGAGGCCGGAAGAGGAGGGUGGAAUACCCAGUGUAGAGGUGAAAUUCGUAGAUAUUGGGUGGAACACCGGUGGCGAAAGCGGCUCUCUGGUCCGGACCUGACGCUGAGGCGCGAAAGCGUGGGGAGCAAA